CAGCCGCCGCGGUAAUACCGGCGGCCCGAGUGGCGGCCACUAUUAUUGGGCUUAAAGCGUCCGUAGCCGGGUUGGUUAGUCUCCCGGGAAAUCUGGCCGCUUAACGGUCAGAAUUCCGGGAGAUACUCCCAGCCUAGGGAGCGGGAGAGGCCGAGGGGAUUCCCGGAGUAGGGGUGAAAUCCUAUAAUCCCGGGAGGACCACCUGUGGCGAAGGCGCUCGGCUGGAACGCGUCCGACGGUGAGGGACGAAGGCCAGGGGAGCAAACCGGAUUAGAUACCCGGGUAGUCCUGGCUGUAAACGAUGCGGACUUUGUGUCGGACAAGCUAUGAGCUUGUCCGGUGCCGGAGGGAAACCGUUAAGUCCGCCGCCUGGGGAGUACGGCCGCAAGGCUGAAACUUAAAGGAAUUGGCGGG
rnacentral:rRNA from 1 species